ACAGCCAUGAAUCCCUUGUGAACACCGCGUGCCCCUGUGCGUGUUCUUCUGUGGCUGCGGAAGGCUGGGGCCGUGAACGUUUUUUCUCUGCUGGGUGCCUCAUGUUGGGACUCAGCCUGUCGGGGUCCGGCUCUUCUGUUCUGCGCACUGACUCUUAGGGGCUUUGUUCGGUCACAGUGAGCAGAAAACCGGUGUCUCCCUGGUGCAGCCUUGGAAGGGGCUGGACACCCACUCAUGGCCACAGAGGGCAGCUUCCGGGCGACGCUCCAACUCUGCCUCUCGGACUCCUCACGGAUACAGGCUUGUGUUUGAAACUGAUCAAUGUCCCCCCGGUUCCUUUCACAGACACCAGAAAGCGCGCGAAUACACCUCACAGUCUCCGAAGUCUCACUCUGAUCUUGGCUCACUGCAACCUCUGCCUCCUAAGUUCAACUGAUUCUCCUGCCUCAGCCUCACCAGUAGCUGGGAUUACAGACGCCCAUCACCAUGCCCGGCUAAUUUUGUAUUUUUAAUAGAGACAGGGUUUUGCCACGUUGGCCAGGCUGGUCUCGCACUCCUGACCUCAAGUGAUCUGCCUGCCUCGGCCUCUGGGAUUACAGACGUGAGCCAUCGCACUUGUGCGUGAAGGUUUUCUAACCUUCUAUCCGAUUUUCUAACCUCCCCAAGCCACAGGAUGAGAAAAGUGUGCGAUGCUCCCGCCUGAGGAAGCCAGCCCGGCCAACGCAGAGCCAAGGACCACUGAAGGCAUCGCCACCGCUACACGCUUGGAGCCAUCCAUGCCUGCAGCCGCGUUGAAUGCCUUCUGCUUCUUUCCUAUGGCAGCUUGAACUGGGUUACUUUUGCUUACAAAUGAAGUCCUCUAACUCAGGAAAU